CAACAGGGAUUGCCCUAGUAACGGCGAGUGAAGCGGCAACAGCUCAAAUUUGAAAUCUGGCUUCGGCCCGAGUUGUAAUUUGCAGAGGAAGCUUUAGGCGCGGCACCUUCUGAGUCCCCUGGAACGGGGCGCCAUAGAGGGUGAGAGCCCCGUAUAGUUGGAUGCCUAGCCUGUGUAAAGCUCCUUCGACGAGUCGAGUAGUUUGGGAAUGCUGCUCAAAAUGGGAGGUAAAUUUCUUCUAAAGCUAAAUACCGGCCAGAGACCGAUAGCGCACAAGUAGAGUGAUCGAAAGAUGAAAAGCACUUUGAAAAGAGGGUUAAAUAGCACGUGAAAUUGUUGAAAGGGAAGCGCUUGUGACCAGACUUGCGCCGGGCGGAUCAUCCGGUGUUCUCACCGGUGCACUCCGCCCGGCUCAGGCCAGCAUCGGUUCUCGCGGGGGGAUAAAGGUCCUGGGAACGUAGCUCCUCCGGGAGUGUUAUAGCCCGGGGCGUAAUGCCCUCGCGGGGACCGAGGUUCGCGCAUCUGCAAGGAUGCUGGCGUAAUGGUCAUCAGCGACCCGUCUUGAAACACG
rnacentral:rRNA from 1 species